rnacentral:rRNA from 1 species
GACAGAGGUGGCAAGCGUUGUUCGGAAUCACUGGGCUUAAAGGGCGCGUAGGUGGUAGUGCAAGUCUGGGGUGGAAUCCCAGGGCUUAACCCUGGAACUGCCUUGGAAACUGUAUUAUUUGAGUCAGUGAGGGGGAGGUAGAAUUCCCGGUGUAGCGGUGAAAUGCGUAGAUAUCGGGAGGAAGGCCUGUGGCGAAGGCGGCCUUCUGGCGCUGAACUGACACUGAGGCGCGAAAGCGUGGGUAGCAAACAGG